rnacentral:tRNA from 1 species
CCUUCGAUAGCUCAGUUGGUAGAGCGGUGGACUGUAGAAAUAUUGAAAAAGUGUGGCUAUCCAUAGGUCGCUGGUUCAAAUCCGGCUCGAAGGA